CUUUGUAUGCCACCCUUCCACUUUUCAGUCUGCUUGUCUCACAACAGAUUUGUAAUUUUUGCAGUUUGUUCCAUCUGGGUUUUUUUCUCAGUGAUUUAAAUAGCUGGUUUAAUUCAAGCUGCUAAAGGAACUUCUCAAAUAAUAUUCUCUGCUUUCCACAGCUGAAUGUUAAAAGGACACAUUUGUAAGUCCGUAAGCUACAUCUGAGAUGAGUUGGAGAUCUUCAGUACACAAAAAUCACUGCAAGUUUUUAUGAACAGCUCCCACCCCCUGCUUCUUGUUUCACCAGUCGAAGGAGAACAUGCCAACUCUAACAGCACUGUCUGAGGAAAAGGAAAAUUAACAUCAGCUUUGCUUUUGUGCAUUCAGGACCUGAUCCAAGAACGCCACUCAUGUGAAUGUGUUUUAAGACAAAAAUAUUAUUCUGAGGAAGUUAUAACACAUUGUCCUGGCCUCAGGCUGGAGACAGCAAGUGUUCUGCCCAUCCUAAGAGUUUCUAUCUCAUUUGGCCCUGUGAAGAAUUUGAUAGCUACUUACCCUGUGAAGAAAGAACAAAGUAUGCUGAAGGUGGAAGAGGGGAAAAUACAGGACAAAGGGCUGCUUCUCUCUGUUGUCUAGCCUGCCAAGGGGCACAGUCAGGAGAAUGUGACUGGAAUGUGACUCGUCUUCCCAGCUUCAGAAUGGAAAAUAAAGGUAGAUCUGGAUGCAGAAGCAUAAGAAGAUGAAAUAGUUUUUCCCUUCUUUCUUUUCCUUUUCUCAAGCAUGUAGUCUCCUUGAACUGAAGGACUGAUGUUUUUAUCUCCAUUUUCCCCUCCACUCCAUCAUGCAAAGAGUUAUUCCAAAAUCACUUGGCAGCCGCAAGACAAGCUAUUUCCUAACCCUCAAAAUAACUCUUGUUUUGAAUAGUUCCCAACUCCUUAAAAAUGCAUCCACAUGUAUGUGUGUUCUGCAUGGGAAAGAAAACUUAUGGUAGAAAUAAAUACUCACCGUUAAUGAAUGCUAAAAUCCUGUUACAAUCAUUAUUAAAUUCGGACUGUUUCUGUGUGUAGAGUCCUAGGCAUUAACCAAUAUGGAUUUGUGAUAUAAAUUAUACAAGCACUAAGGUAAAUUAGCAAUCCAGAUCCCAAAUUCCUGCCACCUAGACAGAAAGGGUGGGUCUGUUAGACCCCCAAGUUCAAGCAGCGAAGGGAAUAUUUUUCCUUUCUACAGCCUGAAAAGGCCAGUUUAACACUUCUAGCUGGCAGCCAUGUAAACAGAAACAGGAAGGCUGACCUAUACAAUACAAAACAAUGUAAUGGGGUUGAAGUUUGCCCAGUUUUGCUCGACAGCCUUGCUUCACUGAGGGUCAGUGCAUGUUGUUGAACACUUCUCUUACAGUUCAUAUGCUUGUGGACUGCUUGAGCACAGGCUUGCCAGGAGGCUUCUUCCUAGCAUUGGUCAAGAUUAACCUUAGUAACUUCAUUUACACUAUAGCUGCAUCCACUCCCUGCUACUUUCAUGAAACUGGAGACAAUUUUGGUAUUCACCUCUGAAAACUCAUAAAAGACAUUACAGCAGAAGAAAUGAUACCAGUAAAGUUGACCUCGGAAAAGACAUCUAUACUUGGUGAAAAUCAGGCAUUAGCAAAUAAGGCCAGCUUUUUUGAAUCUAUGUAUAGCAUUUCUUUUCCAAAGAACAAAAGUUAUGGAUAACCUUACCAGUAUUUACAUAGUAGAAAACGUCUCCCCUCUUCAGGACAGUAAUGGAGAUAUUAAUUGCUAGAGAAUGAUGACAUGAUAAAAACAUUCUGAAAGUGCACAUUUCUCAACUAGUUAUUGUCUACUUUUUAACCUAUCACCUUCUGCUUGAAGACACCCUGGGGGAGAAAAUAAAGCUGUUGUUGCUCUUAUUCAUCUGGGUUUGUUACUAUCUGAGUCCUAUCACCCUCUUCCCCUUUGUGAAUCCUGAAGAAUUUGAAGAACUCCACACUGCUCAAGAAGAGAGAGGCUUCCACGUGUUGGGGUCCCAUUCACAUGCACAUUUGAAAAUUAGCCUUAUUGCUGAUUUCAGCAGAUCUCCAGCAUACAGACUGCUUGUUUCUGCUUAGCUGCUUGCAGUUCACUGAUAAAUAAAAUGUACUCAUAUUAUGUGAAUGCUAAUGACUUGGUAAGGCCAGUUCAAAUUAAAAUGUGAUAGAAAGUAGAGUUAACUAAAUAAAAUAAAGAGCCAGGAAAAGCAGUAAGUGAUAAGCAAGUGUUUGACUGUGAUGCAUCACUGAACUGGAAAAGUUGAACCAUUUGACCUCUGGAGGUCUGUUCCAACCUGAAUUAUCCCAUGAUCCUAAAAAUGUCUGGUUUUCUCAUCCUGUAGUAUUGUCUCCAAAAUAAAAUGCCCAUUUAAUGUGUUCUUUUUCAGCACCUCUGCUUGCUCUUGUCUUGCUUCCCAGCACUGCAAGUACAGCAGUAAAACCAUUCUGCUUUCUGCACAUAACUUGGGCAAGGAUUCGAUACUUAAAGAAGAUAACAGAUUUGAUGAAGAAAUUCAGAAACACAAAACUGACAAAUGAAAUAAACAAGUUUAUCUUAUUUCCUGCAUAGAAGCAUAAAAAGCAAGGUUUCAAAGGAAACAACUUUAAAGCAACAGAACAUGUAAGAACAUGUGAUUUAAAUGAGUUUACGAAGUAAAAUUUAAAUAUAGAAUUUUAUGUUGGCUGGACGAUAUCUGCUCAGUUCUUUAGAGGUUCUGGGCCAUUUUGUUCAAUGACAGAAAUUAUUUAACUUCUUUAAUAAUUUUAUUAUGUUAGUUAAACAAACUGAAAUAUAACAAAAUAGAUAAAAAGAACAAAAAGAAAAGCCCAACAACUUAAAUCCAUCAACACCCAGCAAAGCAGCCCCAGACUAUCACUCAGUCUGGGCCAGUAAAACUAACAUCAAAAUAAAUUAGGAAUUAAGCAAUGUAACUGUCAAAUCAAGACCAGGCAAAUUACCAGUCUCCCUUCUUUGAACUCUCUUCUGGUUAUGAUGAUUUUACCCCCUGGAACCACAUCAAGCAGUGGUAUUACACAACAGACACUAGGAGAGUGCUCUUGAUGAGCAGAAGUUGGCAACUUUUCUUUCCCAGAAGCUGUCUUUUCAGAACUCCAUGGUCUUAAUAUAAGGAUUUCAGUCCUUCUUAACUUGUGAAGUGUAUCUUACAGAUACAGGGCUAAGGAACUCAAAAGCAUCAUGAUGAGGCAUGAGAAGGCAACAGCAUGUUGUGAGUGAGGGGCAGGCUGAGCUUUCUCUGGUGAAUGCUUAGAAUGGUUUCAAAUGCAUUGAGAGAUAAUUCAGCCAUGGACAUAGGUCCUUUCGAGGUCCAGCUGUGUUAAGGGAGAUGGGAUCUGCCCUUGUUGUCUUCCAGGUGCUCAUCACUGUUCUUCUGCUGGAAGGCAUGCUUCUUUCAGAUAUUCUGGUGCUCCAUCUUGUGUGAGUACUUCCCAUGAAACAGGCUAAGUUAGCAAUAACAUAUAUGUGAAACUAUAUGUUUUAUUUUGGCUAUCCUAAGUAGUUCUAGGUGAGAAGAAUUCACUGGACAGCCUGGUAGCAGUGGUAUGAUGGCAAGGACUUAGGACUAGGUUGGAACUGUCAUCUCUGUAGGGAGCAGCUGAAGCUGGUCCGAGGCUGAAGGAGGAGUGUCUGAAGUAUUAUCUGUUGUGAUGGGAACUUUGACCCUCAUACAGACCUGUAGCAAUUCCAUAACAAAAAUUAAAGUGUUUAAAAAGACUGGGAGAUUUCCCAGCUACAGAUAAAUCAACAUCUAAAAAGAAAUCCAGAAGACAAAACAAAAAGGAAGGAAAAAUAUGCAGUUCAUGAACUCCAGCUUUCACAGCAGUUGAUAUUCUCUUAGAAUAUCUCUUGGAGCUUUAUUCGAAAAAGAGACAAUGCUGGCAAGUUCCUACUAGUAGUGGACCCACCACAAGUGAGGAAAGAUUGGGCAGCUGUUGGCAUAGUUUCUUUAGUGAAAUCCUGAAGUUCUUUUCCCCAGGAGGCACAUGGAAAGAUUGAGUGACAGAAGCGUUUCUCCGGUAUGGGCCUUCUUGGCCUUACUUGAUCUUCCUCCAGACCUAUGAACAAAUCAGUUCCAAUGGGACAACAUGGGAGCUACGCAACUGUAUUUAAUUGGGUUCAAGUGUGAUUUCCUUGUUUAUUGCCUAUUUUGGGUAAAUUCCCACCAAACCAAAACUUUUCUCUCCUUGUAUCAGAGCACGUGUCUGUGAUCUUCCCCUCCAAAUACCAAAAAUGUAGACACUGAACACCCGCAUUCCUGAAGAAGCCAAGAUGGUUUUAUCUGAGUGACAAGGUCCAGGGAUGAUAGUACAUUGCCAGGUUAUGCAAGGUCCAGUUCACAUAUCCAAUUAAAAAGUGGGCUUUUGACAACAACUGACCACAUUUAUCAGUGGAGAUAAAAGUUAGUGAACCAGAGAGCUGACAAUCAUCUUUCCAUGCGGAAGGCAGAAUUGCAUCAGACAACUGAUCUGGAGUCUCAGUACAGAAAUGCUGCUUUAAAAUUUCUAAGAUGAAACGCAGUUAAGUAAAUUUAUCUCACCCUAGUGUAUUAUUGCUCUCAUCAUGCGUGAGGUUCAUUUCCUCUCCUGGAAUUCUGAUGUGCAGCAGCAGGUUACACAGCCCUGGCUUCCACGAACCCCUUGGCUUCACUUAGGAUACACAUCUUCAUUUUCAACAAUGUUGUCAUGUUUCUUCCUAAUCCAGGCCACUGUGUCUGCUUACUAACUAAUAGGAGGUAUUUCCUCAGGACAGUUCUUGUCUUCAUUAGUAUGUUUGCUGGUUUAUCUCAGACCUGCCAAAAUAAAGAAUGCAUAAUAAGUUUCAGAAUAAAAGCCCUGCACUUUUUUAAACUUCAUCCUUAUAAUGAAGAAGUGAUGUCUAGGUUUUUGACCUCUUAUGUUCUCUUUCGGAGGCACAGUUUGAACAUGCCAAGAACCGGAAACAAUGCAGUCAUUAACUAAUUAAGAUUUAGUAACUUCAGACCAUGAACAAGCUCAAAAUAUUACUUGGCCCUUUUGUGCCUGUCUUCCCUUCCAGGUGCCACGCUUCUGUUGUGUGCCCAACAACUGAAUGGGUCAGGCCAAAAUUUAGUCCUUAGCAACCUCAAUAAAGGGUCCAUGGCAAAGACCCAUGUGGAUAACAUGAUAGGCAGCAUUUAAUCUUUCAAAUGCUAAAGCUGGUACAGCCACACUAUGUAAUAACAAAGUACUGUUAAACUAAAAACCGUCAAUGAGAAAACUGAGAGUAACUGGGACAUAGGGAGUUUUAAUGAAAAAACUUUGAAAUAAGCUGCGACAGAUCAGUCCUGUAGUCCUUUUCUAAAAGGCACUCGUCCCACAGCCAACGGAAAUGUUACCUGAUGGAGGAUUGUGCACUCUAGUAUGACAUCAGCAGCGUUCUUGGUAUUUAUAGUCCUGUAAAUUAUGGAUAUGUAGACAUUUAUCUUUCCUGGAGCAGAUUCAAACCUGGCGUAAGCUCGCUAGGCUUGCAGCUGGGUAGACUUGGCCCUUUUUCUCCUACACAGAUCCUACUCCAGAAAGGCAGUUAACUCUUUAGGACAAGAAUAAUCUGAUUAUUUUUGCUGAAACCUGUGCGUUUGAGUUUAGGCAUGUGUUAGACUUAAAGGGCCCUUGACAAGGAUGUGAUUGUUCAGUUUACUCUUACUGAUAAAUAAAAAUAUAAUUGUAUCUGAAUCUUUCAGCUUUGGAUGCAACCAUUUUCUUUCUCCUUCAAACUGAUACUACCACACAAGAACAGCUAGAUGUCUCACUAGAACAAACUCUGAAAAAUUUUCUUUUCCCAACUAAGAUCAGUUAUAGACUCUGUUACUAACUAUAUUUUUCCCCAAUUCACAGCUUCAAGAUUCAGAACAUUUUAAAACAAACAAACAAACAAACCAGUCACCAAGAGAGCUUGUUGGAUAGGGUAAAAAAUAAGUGCUGCCUGACUUCAAUGUAGAUUGUUCUGAAAAAAAAAUACAUAGGGAUAAAUCACCUAUUGUUAUCUGGAUCGUUUGCUUCAGUCCAUUCUGUACAGCAUGUAACACAAGGAAGUGAAAAUCUCUCUGAAAAGAGAGCAGUUACUAUUUUAUGUGAAGCUUCAUGCACUCAUGAUUGUUCUCAGAAAACUUUGUUGUAGAAAGACUGGAGCUUUCCAUCUUUCUGUUGACUGCAAUCAGUAUUGCGUUUGGUUCUAAACAAUGGGUGCUAUUAUGUUACUUCUUUACAAGCUAUCCAGCUUGCUCUUAUUAACCUUUAAGAAAUAAAUACGCGGGCAUUAAACAACCUCACAACCUUGAGAAGUGAUUCGCCCCCAGAGAGUCAAGCUUUAGGAUGGAUAAUGAAUAAAGAGCUUAUCAGAAUCUUUGUAACUUAUUAGAAACAUUCUCCAGAUUACCUAUAAAAUUCAUUAGAGACUAAUGACCUGCACUGAAGCCUGAUAAGACAGAAGCUCAGGAAAGAGUUGAGAAAAACAUGAUCUAUCAGAGUCAUGGAAGUCAAGGGUUUGGAGUAAAAGAAUACUAAGUCUGUAAAUAGAGAGCAUUUCUGUUUGGAAAAAAUAGUGAAAGGGGGGAAAAAAGAAAAGGUUUUCUCACGGGGUACAGAAAAAAUCUUAGAAUUAUUAAUGCUGCAGAUAUUAAAGGUGAGAGCUUCAGCACCAAAUGAUAUACUCUGUAGGCUAUAUCUAUGUUGCUGAGUAAAAGAAAGUAAGGAAUCCAAGAAGUAUGCACAAAUUUGUGUCUGCCCUGCCCAGGCCUUGCUUGCUCUGGAUUAGAUGGACCACAUCCACGUGUCAUAAUAGUUCCAUGGGUCCCCUAUGGCCAUAAAAUAUAAAAAAUACAAAGGUCCUUUUGUAAAUGCUUUUUCA